UGAACUAAUGACACCUACUUACAGGCAGUAUUGUGAAGAUUAAUUAAUUGACAUUAUUGAAGUAUCCUGAGGUGGAAUUCCUAAUAGACCAACCACAUUCCUGAAUGACGCGAUACACUUUCUGUUGUUGCAAAUCCUGGAGAGGAAUGAAAAAGAAGUCUUUGCUCAGCCUGUGGAAGCUUGGAAGCUCCAUCAUGGGAGUCAGCAGAGCCUGCCGUUUCCCGGCCACCGCAGGACUUCUAGGUGAGCUUUUUGUUGGGCAUUAAGGUCAGAGCCACACCAGUG